GAGAGAGAGAGAGAGAGAUAGAGAGAUAGAGAAGAGAGAGUUCACUUACUGAGAGGAAGCGAAGGGGCGGGUAUGGAGGUGGAGAGGGAGGAAGGGGCGUUGAAUAGGGCUUGAGACUUAGAGAGAGAAAGAGAAGGGGGAAUUGUGAGGGGUCUGGAAGCCAUGGGAGGAGCUCCAACUCCGAGCAAGAGAGACGCCAUCUCAAUUCUCAAAAUCUGUGGAAUUGAGCAACGAAAUUGUGAAUUAGUGGACAAAAGGAUUGUGUUUCGGAUAAAAUGUGGAGAUCGAACGACGCCGUUUUGAUGGGAAUGUUGGUAUAUCUAUUCCCAUGAACAUAAAAUAAAAUUAAUUGAAUUAGCCGUAUUUAAAUUUUACUACCUUUUCUAAUAAAAUUGUUCUUUUUCCUUGAGGCACUAAUAAAAGUGUUCUUAUAUAAUUAUCUUUUGUUUUAACUAAUAAUAAUAAUAAUAGUUACUCCUUUUUGUUCAAUACAUUUCAUUUUUACUGAGCUCAUAUUCUAGAAAUAUUAGGCAUUUGAUUUGGUGAAUGAGAUCAAUAAAAAUAAUAAGAUUAGAUGAGUGAUUAAAUUUAUUCAAUUUUUGGAUGAUAAAUAAUCAUUCAGAAUGAUUAAAUUCAAGUCGAAUUAUUAAUCACAAGUUGAAUCAUGCAAAAAUAAACACUUAAUUAAAAUGAAUUAUUUUAUCAAUCAUAUCUUAUUAUCCAAAUUAAACGCCUCUCUCACACAAAAGUAAUUAUGUUUCCAUUUAAAUGUGGAUGAGAUAUAAUUUAAGAAUGACGGAAAUAGAAUAAAAUGAGCAUCAAAAUUGGGAAAAUUAAUGAUCCUUUCUCACACAAACAUUCAAUUUCCAACCGCCAAUUCUGUUAUUGUGUGGGACUAGUAUUAGUUAUUUUUUAUUUUUUAUUAAUAUUGACCUUAUUUUCAACCAGAAGUGACGUUAUGACGAGUCUUUUCAACAGGGGAAGCUUACGUGGUAUUUUGAUUGCUACAUGAGAUAAAAUUAAUUGAAAUUUGGGUGAUACAAAUGCAAGUGUAGCAAUCAGUUUGAUGCAAAUAACAUGAUUUAGUAACAAUUCAAGAAAUUAACACUGUGGUUUCAACAAAAUUUACAUACAAAAGAAAGAAAAAGGAAAUAAGCAAGACAAAAAAAGUACUUGCAAAUUAAGCCAAAGAUCUCUAUACUGUAGUUUGUGAAAGGCUUGAGCCUCCUAUUACACAACAUAGACUACUCUAACUAGUUAAGUUAGGUUUCAAACACCCAUACCUCCGUUAUGAGUAAUCAGCUCCCUACUGCGGAUAUGGAGCAGCGGCGGAGGAGAGGCGUCGGUGCUCUCUGGUUGUGGAGGCGCGUUGUUCACGAACGCUAGCUCUGCCAAAUCGAUGGCCUUGGCCAGGCCAGCAGCUUUGCGUUCACACUCGAUUUGCUCGUCGUCUGGACGGCUGUCGGCCACGAUCCCAGCACCGGAUUGGAGGUGCGCGAUCCAUUCCUGGCGCCUGUUGCCAUCCUUGUACGAGUACAUUGUGUCGUAACGGACUGCAGUAGGGAAAACGAUUGUCCUCAGAGUCAAUGCGAUGUCCAUGUCGCCCAGGAACGAAACCCCUCCGAAGCCACCGCUGUAUGGUCCCCUUCUUGUUGGUUCUAAUUGAUCAAUCAACUCCAUGGCCCUCACCUGAAGUUCGCGAACAGGGGAAAACAAAACACGAUCUUAUCGACUGACGAAUACGAUUAUUUACAAGAACUCAGGAGUUUGAAACUGGAAAAUUAAAUUCAAUGCAUAAACUCAGGUCUCAGAUAAGCUAAAGCUGCAUCGUUACCUUUGGUGCUCCACUAACUGUUCCAACGGGCAGUGCAGCACGCAGUGCAUCCCAAGCCGUCAUAUCAUCAAGUAACUCUCCAGUUACCUAUAAUCACAAUUUAACACAAAAUACGAAAUAGUUAUUGAGCAAUCAGAAAAAAGCAAUGGUAUUUCAAUGGGAAAUGUUUUGAGCACCAAAUAUUUGCCAAUGAGGCAAUUCAAUUGCCAAGUAAAAGCAUGUUCUUACUGUAGAGCUUAUGUGCAUCACAUGGGAAUAUCGUUCGACAGUCAUGAGCUUUUCCACUUUGACCGAACCAGGUUUUGAAACCUGGGCCAAAAAAAUUAUAGAAACAGCUUAAUACAUUAUACAUCAAAUAAGAAAGGGUCUUGAUUUGACAGCAAAGUGGGAAAACAAAAGAUGCGGAGAAAGUUUUUGGCUCUUGAAGUCAUACACAGCUUAAAUCCUCACAAGUAAUUAAUAAAAUACCAUAUGGAGAGAAUAUGGAAGUUCUUUGAGAAAUUGAUGGUUUUUAUCUAAUACUAAGAGCAAAAGAUGGAGGUUUCAGUCAAAUCAAGUUUUUGCCUUCCUCUGAAUCCUGGGGUUGCCCGUUGCCUGGAUUGACAUGCUAGCAAAACGUAUGUAAACAAGAAAAGCUAAUAACACAGCAAUUGAUAUCAAAUACACUAUAACUUGUUAGCUAGCUUCAACUUUGUACAAUGACCAGUUAGUGUAGGUGAAAUUUCAUUUCAAUUUUGCACACUUGAUAUUUAACCAAGAACGGAUCAUCUUAUGCUCUGAAAAUACCCAUACGUUAGCACCAAACUUAUAUUUUGUGAAGGAUGAAAGUACAAGCAAAAAACUUAUACACCUAAACAUUAUAAGAUAUUCUCCCUCACAAUAUAGGCACGUGAUGUGGAUAAUAAUGGAAACAAAAUAUUUAACUGAAAACACUGGCACAACAGCAUUUAUAGAGGGCAUAGGGCAUGAUUAAAAUUGUAAAGUACUCAAGUAUUAAGAGAUUUACUUUUAGGAGAAUGGAAUAACAAACAGAAUAAGGAGACAUGGUGCGACAAAAGCUACAAAAGUUUCCUCUAGACAAUAUGAACAAUAAACAAACCUUUCCAACAUCAUUCCUGCCCAGAUCAACCAGCAUAAUAUGUUCUGCGCAUUGCUUUUCAUCCUUUAGCAGCUUCAUCUCUAACAUUUCAUCCUCAUUGCUUGUCGUCCCUCGUUUAGCUGUCCCAGCCAANAAGUGAGACAUUUGUAAUGGGAAAAAGAAAUUAGUAAUUUGGAAAUAAAUAAUUCAAGAAAAGGAUCAGCAAACAGAAAUAGUUCUAAGUUACCCUGAAAAAUGCCGUCUAUAAGAGGAAAUUCAUACACAAAAGCUUAAAACUUAACAAAUCCAAAUAAUUACAAGCCUAUACCACCAAUAAAGCAUUCUUGAUCAAUUAACAAUGAUAAAUAUAUUUUCUUGAGGAAUUAUGAUAUAGAAUGAUAAAUAUAACCUCAGAAGUACAUUACUAUAUAAACAACAAGUAUAACAAAAAUCACAAAAUUAAAUAAAACUCAAGUGAUUCUCAUUAGCUAAGAUUUUCCCAUUAUAGCAAAAAUUACACGAAUCGUAAAACCGAAAAUUUCAUUCAGUUGCCAAACAGAGACUCGUCAAUCUCAAUCUUGACCACUUCGCCGUCGUCGUACUUAUCUUUUCUCGGCGGAAGCGGCGGCGCCGGAACCCUCGGCGGCCCUCUCCCCUUCUUCUUAUCCUUGGGCCUCGCCUUCACACGCCAAAAAUCCACACAAUCAAUAACAGAAAAAUGGAAUAAAUAAACCUCCGAAAAAAGAAAAAUUAACAAAUGAAUUAGCGUAAAACCACAUUGCCGAAUGAGUGAUUGAAGCGCUUCCCCUAGCAGUUUCUUGUCCCUCGGCCGCAGAAAACUGAACCCCAAGGAAAAAAAAAAUCAGAGAGAGAGAGAGAGAGAUAGAGAGAUAGAGAAGAGAGAGUUCACUUACUGAGAGGAAGCGAAGGGGCGGGUAUGGAGGUGGAGAGGGAGGAAGGGGCGUUGAAUAGGGCUUGAGACUUAGAGAGAGAAAGAGAAGGGGGAAUUGUGAGGGGUCUGGAAGCCAUGGGAGGAGCUCCAACUCCGAGCAAGAGAGACGCCAUCUCAAUUCUCAAAAUCUGUGG
rnacentral:lncRNA from 1 species